AUUGAACGCUGGCGGCAGGCCUAACACAUGCAAGUCGAGCGGAUGAAGGUAGCUUGCUCCUGGAUUCAGCGGCGGACGGGUGAGUAAUGCCUAGGAAUCUGCCUGGUAGUGGGGGAUAACGUCCGGAAACGGGCGCUAAUACCGCAUACGUCCUGCGGGAGAAAGUGGGGGAUCUUCGUACCUCACGCUAUCAGAUGAGCCUAGGUCGGAUUAGCUAGUUGGUGGGGUAAAGGCCUACCAAGGCGACGAUCCGUAACUGGUCUGAGAGGAUGAUCAGUCACACGGGAACUGAGACGCGGUCCAGACUCCUACGGGAGGCAGCAGUGGGGAAUAUUGGACAAUGGGCGAAAGCCUGAUCCAGCCAUGCCGCGUGUGUGAAGAAGGUCUUCGGAUUGUAAAGCACUUUAAGUUGGGAGGAAGGGCAGUAAGUUAAUACCUUGCUGUUUUGACGUUACCAACAGAAUAAGCACCGGCUAACUUCGUG
rnacentral:rRNA from 1 species